GUUGGAGUCUUGGAGAACCAGGAGGGAAGAGUUGAGAAGAGCUGCUGAAAUUAAGAGCUGAGAAAUUACUGGGAGAGUUAAGCUGAAAUCAGAAGAGAUCUGAUCUGAAGAGAUGUGAUUCAGAAGUUGAGAUCUGGAUAGCCCUCUAAGCAGCUGAGGGAAGAGUACUGGAAAGAGAAGAGCCAGUCCUGAAGGUGAGCCACAAGAUGUCUCCUCUUCCUAAUAUGGUAUAUGAAAAUGACCUCCGAGGUAAUUUCUGGCCACCCGAACCCAUGGAUACGUGGUAAUGCUGAGAUGCAAUCUUCUGUUGCUGUCCCCUUCCUAUACAACUGUAAUCUGAAAUCAUGAAGUAUGGGCUUAUUGGAUAGCUACUCUCACAGGAGAUUUCUUGGCAGAGACCUUCUUCUUCCAGCCCUCUGGAUCCACUGAGGAUUGUACCUUUCCCCCAUAUAUGGCAGUCACUACUCAGGAUUUCAGCCUGCUAUUGGACAAGCCUAUAUCAUCUACUAUUUUAACCCUUAAGUAGCAGGGGUUACACAUGGAUACAGCUAGCAUGACACCCUGAAGUUACUAGGAAACAACACAGGCAAAUAUUUCUUGUGUGGCUGUUGUACACUAAAAUUAUUGUGUGAACAGGUACUUGAUUCAGUGCCUCAGAACAGAAAUGUAAUAUUUCCAAAGAUUUUCUUGGUAACAGCCAGGAGUGAAACAAUCUCAGUCCAGUAAGUGAACAUGUAAAAAAAAAAAGGGGGGGGGGAAUAUAUCCAUGAACUACUUUAAUCAACAGAAAAUAAUUCAAUUCUGUUUUCCCAAAGAAUGAUGAUGUAUCUAAACUAUAUAUCUUAAGAGGCCAAGAAGAUAAUAUCUUCCCAGCUGUAGGAAAAAAAGACACUGCAGCUAAAUCAUUUAACAUUGAUAAAAUAUAGCUGAUCUCUGUGUUAGCAGGAAACCAAGAGAAAAGCAAAGCACUCAUCAGAGGCAGUGGCUGAUAGUAGUGUAUGUCACUUGAUGAAAGAUGACACAUUUUUCUACUAAGAGCAGAAGGGGGUGGAGGAAUGGAAAGGUGUCAGGGGACUCCAAGAUACUUCAGCCAGAGAGUGGGGAAGAAAUAACUUACAAUCUCCUCCCCUCCAAAGAAAAUCACAAGAUGACAAUGAAGCUUUUUGUUCCCCUAGCUUCCUUGAGUCAUACCACAGUGGUUUGGGUUGUAAAUGUUUUUGCUAUGUUGAUUCCAGGGAAUUAAAAUCCACAAAAUAGGAGGAAACAGUCUCUUCAUAAGAGUAAUUUCUAAGGGGUAGCCGUUAGCAAGCAUUCAAAUGUUUUGAGUGGACAUGAAAGUGUGGAGUUCAAAAGCUGGGUAAAUCAGGUAGAGGAUUGUCCAUAAGAUUAUAUAAUUGUUUUGAGGUUCGAAUAGGUUGAGAUGUAUUUGUUUGAUUCAAAACAUCUAAGAACAUUAAAUUGCUGUUAAAAUCUGGGUCCAUUGACCCAGAACACUAUGUGUUCUUGAACAUUUCUGUUGUCUGGCAUUAUCUUGGCUAAUCAAUUGUGGAUCGCUAUCUAAGCUAAGGGGAGUUACAGUUCCUAAAUCUGAUUUUCUUGAAGGUAUAGUAAUUACCCCGUUUUCUGUUUUCCAGAGGUAAACAGAAAUCUAAAAUAGAUUUCUGAUCAAAUGGGUUGGAAUUUAUAUUCAUCUUUUGGUUGGUGGUUUUUGUUUGUUUGUUUGAGAUCUAGUUUCCACCAUAAUAAUUUUAGACUAUAGUUAUGUAAUACCAAUAUGUAUAUCAAUUAAAACACAUUAAACAAAACAUCAGAACUUAACUUUUCUUUCAAAUACUUUCCGAAACAAAACCGGGAGCGACAGGGAGGUGAUAGUUAGAUUAUUAUCCUGGGGUUCACAGGUCUAACAAACUUCAGAGUUGUACUUCUUAAUUACGUCCCCUCAUAGCCUUACUAAAGUAUUGCUGUUAACUGUAGGAGUUUAAAAGGGAGUAGGAGAGAAAAGAAUCAGACGUCAAGUACUCUACGUGCCCUCUUAACGAUGCACUUGGUGUGACGUCAAGGCACACAUGGAGGCACACCUCAGCAGACUGGAGGUUUUAUAUCCCUUUGCCUGAGAAGGCAGGGGAACAGAAACAGUCUUCAGUUGGUUCCAGCUGGUCACUCACACUCUUCUCCAUGUCCCUGGUCAAACACUCCCCUGUCAGGCUGGGCAACUAAAAGGCAAUAUUUAAAACUAGCUGGGCUUGGCACAGAGCAUCUGCACCUCUAGUU